rnacentral:lncRNA from 1 species
GUUGGACACCUUAAAGGAAGAGAAAGAGAACCUUCAAGGCUUGGUUACUCGUCAAACAUAUAUAAUCCAGGAGCUGGAAAAGCAAUUAAACAGAGCUACCACCAACAACAGUGUCCUUCAGAAGCAGCAACUGGAGCUGAUGGACACAGUCCACAACCUUGUCAAUCUUUGCACUAAAGAAGGUGUUUUACUAAAGGGAGGAAAAAGAGAGGAAGAGAAACCAUUUAGAGACUGUGCAGAUGUAUAUCAAGCUGGUUUUAAUAAAAGUGGAAUCUACACUAUUUAUAUUAAUAAUAUGCCAGAACCCAAAAAGGUGUUUUGCAAUAUGGAUGUCAAUGGGGGAGGUUGGACUGUAAUACAACAUCGUGAAGAUGGAAGUCUAGAUUUCCAAAGAGGCUGGAAGGAAUAUAAAAUGGGUUUUGGAAAUCCCUCCGGUGAAUAUUGGCUGGGGAAUGAGUUUAUUUUUGCCAUUACCAGUCAGAGGCAGUACAUGCUAAGAAUUGAGUUAAUGGACUGGGAAGGGAACCGAGCCUAUUCACAGUAUGACAGAUUCCACAUAGGAAAUGAAAAGCAAAACUAUAGGUUGUAUUUAAAAGGUCACACUGGGACAGCAGGAAAACAGAGCAGCCUGAUCUUACACGGUGCUGAUUUCAGCACUAAAGAUGCUGAUAAUGACAACUGUAUGUGCAAAUGUGCCCUCAUGUUAACAGGAGGAUGGUGGUUUGAUGCUUGUGGCCCCUCCAAUCUAAAUGGAAUGUUCUAUACUGCGGGACAAAACCAUGGAAAACUGAAUGGGAUAAAGUGGCACUACUUCAAAGGGCCCAGUUACUCCUUACGUUCCACAACUAUGAUGAUUCGACCUUUAGAUUUUUGAAAGCGCAAUGUCAGAAGCGAUUAUGAAAGCAACAAAGAAAUCCGGAGAAGCUGCCAGGUGAGAAACUGUUUGAAAACUUCAGAAGCAAACAAUAUUGUCUCCCUUCCAGCAAUAAGUGGUAGUUAUGUGAAGUCACCAAGGUUCUUGACCGUGAAUCUGGAGCCGUUUGAGUUCACAAGAGUCUCUACUUGGGGUGACAGUGCUCACGUGGCUCGACUAUAGAAAACUCCACUGACUGUCGGGCUUUAAAAAGGGAAGAAACUGCUGAGCUUGCUGUGCUUCAAACUACUACUGGACCUUAUUUUGGAACUAUGGUAGCCAGAUGAUAAAUAUGGUUAAUUUCAUGUAAA